AUUCCCUGGCCCCACCUCAGAACGACUGAAUCAGAAACUCUGGGGUGGGGCCCAGCGCUCUGUGUUGAACAAGCCUCCUGGGGAUUCAGAUGUGCACUCAGGAUUGGGGACCACUCCUUUAGGUCAUCCACAUAACCACAACACUUCCCUGCUCUAAACCCUUCCAUGGCUCCCAACUGCUUUCUGGAUAAAAUUGAAAGGCUCUAACCAGCAUUCAAAGCCCUCCCCUUGUGGCCCUGGCUGACAGGAGGUGGCCAGCCUGAUUUCCCAGCCCCAUGAUAGGCUGCUGGAGGUGACUCAUGCCUUGGACCUGUUUACCCGGUGCCCAGCCAGGCUGACAGACAGCGACGAGGGCAGGAGAAAACGACAGCACAUGCUAACGACGUGUGUGGCUCCUGGUGGCGGUUCGAGGCUCAUUCUGUUACCGCCGUGUGAACUGGCCAAGUUGCUUCGCUGUCUGGAGCCUCAGUGUUCUCAUCUGUCCAGUGGGGAUGAUAACAGCGCGUCUGCCUAGGUCGGCUAGGACGAAAUACGAUCACCUGUGCAAAGUGCUCAGCCUGGUGCCUAGCAAACAACAGGUGCCUUAGAAUACUAAGGGCCCACAAUCCCUUGAGGCUGGAGGUUUCAGGAUUCUGGGUUUUUCAGGUUUUAAAAAGGGAAAUACAGUUGACCCUUGAGCAACAUGGGGGUUAUGGGUGCUGACCUCCGACACAGUCAAAAUCCACCUAUAACUUUGGACUUCCCUGAAACUUAAUGACUGAUAGCCUUCUGCUGACUGGAAGCCAUAACAUAAAUGGUCAGUUAACACAUAUUUUGUGUGUUACAUGUUGUAUAUACUAUAUCCUUAAAAUAAGUAAGCCAAAGAAAAGGAAAUGUUAUUAAGAAAAUCAUAAAGAAGAGAAAAUACAGUUACUGUUCAUUAAGCGGAAGUGGAUCAUCGUAAAGAUCUUCAUCCUUAUCCUCCUCACGGUGGGGAAACCGAGGCCUGGAGAGGUGGAGUGACUUGCCCACGGUGACAGAAGAGGCAGGGUCAAAGUUUGAACUCAGGAGCUGGGGACACUUGUUGGCUGCCUACCCAGCAGCCAUUCCUUCUAACAAUCCCCAGAUCUCCUUCUAAGUACCUACCACCCCCCCACCACAGCCAGCAUGCUUGGAGGGGAGCCCCCUCAACUCCAAGGAGGGCUCUGAUGGGCUGGAACCAGAUAAUGCCUCCUAUUCCCUUGGCCACAGGCAUUGGUUCAGGGGUAGUCGUGUGACCCAAGACUGUCCAAUGAGAACAACUGCCCAAUGGACUCCUGGAUGGAUAUUGGAAUAUGUCCCCUCCUAUAGCGGAAUGAGAAGCAUGUGCCAUGCGCUCAGGGUAACACUGACUUGGGAACCUAUGAAGAGGACAGAGGUCCUCGAAAGCUUCACCCAGCUCCUUGACAGCCUGCACCACUCUGAAGAUCCAGCUCUGCUCACACCAGCCAACAAGCUCCCCUGUUAUCUAAGUCAGGUGGAGGCUUGGAGUUGGGUUUCCUUUCCUGCAGCUAGAAACGUUCUGAAACUGCAGUACUUCUGGAUUCCAAAGCUUGAGUCCUUUCCCUAGCAUAAGGUGCUUCUCUGCAUAUCCAUAUUCCAAAAGUCGAACACUUUGGCACCAUUUUCCUCUAUGUUUUGAGUUCCAGACACCAGGUUUACAAAGGAUUGCUGCAUGACAACUUUGCUUGAGUUUGGAGGUUCCAGAGGGCACAGCCUUUCAAAGGUCUUCUUCCCUGGGCAUCUCCAGUUCAUCGUACAGCGCCCAG